UCCGAACCCGAUCGGGCCCGCGACCCCACCCGGGGACGGCCUGCGGGAACGAGUUCGCGAGCACUCCCCUCGGUCAUGUAAUGUUUCC
rnacentral:tRNA from 1 species